GCCUAAAAUCCAGCCCCCCUCCCCCUUAAUAAAACGUAUUAAUUAACAAGAAAAACUAAAACAUUUUCUCAACUUAGUAAAGGCGAUUAAAAAGUAUCUAGGAGCCUAAACAUUAGUACCGCAAGGGAAAAAUGAAAGAAAAAUGAAAUAAAUUUAAAGCACUAUAAAGUAAAGAUAAAUCCUUGUACCUUUUGCAUCAUGGUUUGACUAGUAAAAUCAAGCAAAAAGAACUUUAAGUCUGACACCCCGAAACUAGACGAGCUACUUCAAAACAGCCCCACGAGCCAACCCAUCUCUGUCGCAAAAGAGUGGGAAGAUUUUUAAGUAGAGGUGAUAAACCUACCGAGCCUAGAGAUAGCUGGUUAUUCAGGAAAAGGAUCUAAGUCCAAUUUUAAUUCUUCACAUAACAUUAAAUAUACUUACAGAUUUAAAAUUUACUCAAAUAAGGUACAGCCUAUUUGAAACAGGAUACAACCUCUCACAGAGGGUAAUGCCCACAAAACACGACUAAGUAGGCCUAAAAGCAGCCACCUUUUAAAAAGCGUUAAAGCCUCAUCAUAUAAAAUUAUAAAUACCCACCUAAACCCAAAACCCCUUAACCCCCACUGAAUGACUUCAUACCUUUAUGAAAAUCCUUAUGUUAAAACCAGUAACAAGAAUAAUUAUUCUCCUAUAAAUGUAAGUAUAAGCCGAAAUGGACCCCCCCACCGACACUUACCGCUAAUGAACCCACAGUAAUAACUUCCCCAAGAAAACCUUACUUUUUUCCCAGCGUUAACCUUACACAAGAACUUUUCUGGAAAGAUUAAAAAAAGAGGAAGGAACUCGGCAAACAUUAACCCCGCCUGUUUACCAAAAACAUCGCCUUUUGACAACCAAUUAAAGGUCCAGCCUGCCCAGUGAUAAACUUAAACGGCCGCGGUAUCUUAACCGUGCAAAGGUAGCACAAUCACUUGUUCCUUAAAUGGGGACUAGUAUGAACGGCACCACGAGGGUUACACUGUCUCCCCCUUUUAAUCAGUGAAACUAAUCUCCCCGUGAAGAAGCGGGGAUACCCCUAUAAGACGAGAAGACCCCAUGGAGCUUUAAACAAAGUAUCACUUGCAUAACUAAUACCACCUAAACCAAUGCAAAUUUGCCUACUAGUUUUUGGUUGGGGUGACCGCGGAGCAAAACAAAACCUCCACGAUGAAAGGAAAUUUAACUCCUAAUCAAAGAGCCACCACUCACAGAAUCAAAAUAUUGACCUAAAUUGACCCAAUAUAUUUGACCAACGAACCAAGUUACCCUGGGGAUAACAGCGCAAUCCAUUUCAAGAGCCCAUAUCAACAAAUGGGUUUACGACCUCGAUGUUGGAUCAGGGUAUCCCAGUGGUGCAGCUACUACUAAAGGUUCGUUUGUUCAGACGUAUUAA
rnacentral:rRNA from 1 species